GACGAACGCUGGCGGCGUGCUUAACACAUGCAAGUCGAGCGGUAAGGCCCUUUCGGGGGUACGACGAGCGGCGAACGGGUGAGUAACACGUGGGUGACCUGCCCUCAGCUCUGGGAUAAGCCUGGGAAACGUGGGUCUAAUACUGGAUAUGACUCCACGGUGCAUGUCGUGGGGUGGAAAGCCUUGUGCGGCUGAGGAUGGGCCCGCGGCCUAUCAGCUUGUUGGUGGGGUGAGGCCUACCAAGGCGACGACGGGUA
rnacentral:rRNA from 1 species